rnacentral:sRNA from 1 species
AUGUAUCUGUACCCUCAAUGUUUGCCCCAAGAUGGCAUCUCAGGCUCAGUGUAUUCUUUAUAUUCUCCGAAGACUACUCCCCUCUAGGGCUCCUGCCUCAGAAGGGCACCAUGUCCCACUCCUCCCCAUCCCAAAGCCCACAGGGCCAUCCUUCACCCCUUCUUCUCCCUCACCACCACAUUCUUAAGUCUUCCUCUAUAAUCUGUCUGCUUUUCCUGUCUCACUACUGUCUCCCGACCUGGUUGAGGACACCUUUCCUCCUUAGCCAAUCACUUACUAAAAAGCUGGUGUCCCCGUCUCCGUUCUUACCCAUUUGUUCUCCAUGCAGCCAGAGUAAUUCAUUUCACUCUCCCUGUUUAAACUCAUUGAUGGCUCGGCCCUGGGCUUAGGAUAGAAUGCAGAAUCUGUAAAGGCCUUACAUGAACCCUGUGUCUCCAGCCACUUGGUUCACUUUCAGGCUCCAGCCAAACAAUUUCCUUAGGCCUUUUGCUCUUUCCAGCUUUCUCCAAGAUGUUCUCUCUCCUAACUUCCCUUAUGGCCCAGCCAUCAUUUGGUUCUCAGCUGAGACACCAUUUUCCACAGGAUGCCUCCCCUGGCCUCCAAGGCUGGUUAGGUGUUGUCUUGAUGCUUUUACAGCUCUUGUACUGACACCCUCAUUCCCUGCUGCCUCCAUGGGGACUGCCUUGCCUGGCUGUCUCUGCUUCCCUGUGAGCAUGUUGUGGAAAGACAGGGACUAUCUCCACAGUGAAAAGGUUACCUCCCUGCCUCUCUCCAACCCCUAGGUGAAGCUCCUGGAAGUGAUGGAAGGAAUGGACAAGGAGACGUUUGAGUUCAAGUUUGGGAAAGAACUAACAUUCACCACUGUACUGAGUGACCAACAGGUGGUGGAGCUGAUCCCUGGGGGCGCAGGCAUCGUCGUGGGAUAUGGGGACCGUUCUCGUUUCAUCCAGCUGGUCCAGAAGGCACGGCUAGAGGAGAGCAAGGAGCAGGUGGCAGCUAUGCAGGCAGGUCUGCUGAAGGUGGUGCCACAGGCUGUGCUGGACUUGCUGACCUGGCAAGAGUUGGAGAAGAAAGUGUGUGGGGAUCCAGAGGUCACUGUGGAUGCUCUGCGCAAGCUCACCCGGUUUGAGGACUUCGAGCCAUCUGACUCGCGGGUGCAGUAUUUCUGGGAGGCACUGAACAACUUCACCAACGAGGACCGGAGCCGCUUCCUGCGCUUUGUCACGGGCCGCAGUCGCCUACCAGCACGGAUCUACAUCUACCCAGACAAGCUGGGCUACGAGACCACAGAUGCACUGCCCGAGUCUUCCACCUGCUCCAGCACCCUCUUCCUGCCACACUAUGCCAGCGCCAAGGUAUGCGAGGAGAAGCUCCGCUAUGCGGCCUACAACUGCGUGGCCAUCGACACUGACAUGAGCCCUUGGGAGGAGUGAGGCGUGCCGCCGGCUGUGGGACCAGCAGGACUGCACGUGUCCCUCUUGGCCUUGCCCAGGGCGAAGACACCUUCCCUGCCCUGGUUUGGCUGACGUGCUCCGCAAAACCCCGUGUGCCCCGCUCCUGUGUGCAGUUGGAGUAGGGGCAGCUGGCGUGGUCAGGUGAACACUAGUGGCCCAGCCCCGCAGACCCACAAGCCCUACCCGUGCCGGGGCUUGCUUCCCGAGGUAUUUCACCUCUUAAGAGGGAAUCUUCCACAAGCCCAGUACAAGCUGCCAGGCCUGAGCUACUUGAAGGGGGCCAUCUAGGUCCCCAACCCAUGGACUUUGCCUCCAUUUUCAGCUCCACCUUUUUUCUCCUAUUUUCUCUCUGGCUUUCUUCAGCCAUUACUCACAACUAAAAACAUAAAACACUGGAGGUUGGUGGAGGCCCCUCCCCAAGCAGGGAGCCUGGGAUGGGCAGGGAGUGAUAGCCAAACUCCUUGGUCACCUGCUCCAAGAAGGAAGCAGUAGCUGAGCACCUGCCUUCACAUACUGCUCUUUUCCUCCUCUCCCUCCAUACCAGAGAUGUGGUGAGCUCUGUUCUUCUUCCAACCCAGUCUCAACACACAAAGUGCCACCACCUUCCCUGACUCAGAACCCACAUCCACUCAAUGUGAACCCUGCUACCACGACCUCCCCAUAUUCCUCACUUCUCCAUCACCUCCAGCCUGACUCCCUGUCUGCCCUUUCACCCCCAAGAUUUUGCACAGGUUAAGGCCAGUUAUGGCCUUUUUGAAAUCUGUAAUAGCUCCCCUUUCCCCAACUCUAAAGCCUAGACCUUAAACCUGUUCCUAGAGCUAUGCACAUCCCUGCCCCAGUUUACCAUUCCUCCCUCAGGGCCUCCGUGACACUCCAUGAAAAGAAGUUCUUGCAUACCAGAAAGUUGAAUAAAUGGAUGAAUUCAUUCCUUCA